CCGCGCAUUAUUUGUGUGCAUUAUUAACGUAGGUUACUAACUGAAACUAGCCUACUGCCAGCCAGCGGGACAUUAAAGAGGAAGUGUUUGUCCGAACUUGCAGCAAGGAAAUGAUAAUUCUCGGGGGAACGCAAAAGUUUCCCUCCCAUCCCAAUUUUUUUUCCACCACCACGUCCCUUUAGGGGCUCCGUAGCUACUGGUUCACGGGCAAAUUUGCUUUAUGUAUUUCCCAGCGUUGAAAUCAGGCACAUAUAAAUGUCAGGAAACACGAUUGCAUGUCAACAUCCAUGGAUCACUGGAUCUUUGGUAAGUUGUAAGGAACACUAUGUCGAGUCCAACCUUUCCCCUAUUAAAUCCAGUCAUGCAGCAGGCUCUUUUUUCCACUCCGGCUGAGGGGGGUGUUCCGGCGGGAAAGUGACGUCAAUGCAUCCUCUAUAACCUACUAAAAAAAAAAAAAAAAAAAAAAAAAAAAAACAAGAAACCCAUUCUCUCCAAACUUGCGAAUCAUAUCGCGGUACGCGAGAGGACUCUUCUCGUUCUGUUCCUGCUAUAAUUUAGGCUUAUGCUAAAUAGCAGGCUAACUAAACUAAAUGGAUAUUUAUUCAUUUUUUAAAAUAAACCCACAACUAAAGGAGAGGGGGCUCUAACUCUGACUCUAGCUUCCACUAUCAACAAAUACGCAACUCGGAAAAGAGGCGGCUGCUGCAUUAGAAGACGAGUAUGAAUUCCAGCAAGAGUGAGAGGCCUGUUUGAAGUUGAAACCCUUGUCAGCAGCAUGGCCAGGCGCUCUUUCUGGCAGCGGCAGGUCGCAGUACCACUUCUGGUGGCAUCCCCAGAUGCCACAGAGAUCUUCUUCUUCUUCUUCUUCCUUGAUGUUUAAUGGCAGUUGGCAUCCAAAAAGUUGCAUUACUGCCACCUGCAGUCUAUUAACUUGUCCCUUCAUAAUUAUAUUUGUCUUAAAUAUAUAUUGUAUAGAUGUUAGAUAAAAUGAUGGGCCUCCAGUACUUAAUCAAUAUAAUGCAGAGCAGAGUAGAACACUGGUAACAGGGACAAAGAAUGACACAAACACGAAAAGUGCUGUUCACUCACAGUCAAAGUUUAUUGAGCUCGCUGUAACUUAUAUAGCAAAAGUCUAGGGCGUUAAGCCAACUUAAAACAAAGGCAAGCUAAAUUCAUGUUUAUAAGAUGUCUCAUCAUCCACUUUACAUAAGCAUUAAGUGUGAAUAACUCCUUAUAGGCAUGAAUAGAACAGUGUGGCUCUUAUAGGAAAUAACAAGAUAGUUCUUAAAGGUGUACGUGACUACAACAGAUUAAAAACAGAAAAAGAAGAACUUAAAAACAGGAUAAGAGAUCAAGGAGAAACAAAGCAAAACACUUUCUUCUUAACAAUGGCCACUUUAAGUCAUUUAUGACUUAUUGUUUUGCUUCAUCCUAAUUCUAAGGCAAAGGCUGUUUUUACAGGUGUAGCACCUGAACAUAUUACAAGCAAACUACAUUUAAAACAUUCAUUCUAGUUAGCAGAUACAUAUCUUCUUGUUGCUACAACAGUAGUCUUCACAGCCCUUUGGACUGUUGACAUAAUACAUGGUUCAAAGGCAAAGCAAAAUGAAUGCAAACAACACAAUCAUUAUUAUCAUCACAUAAUAUUCCACGUUCACAAACAUUCCUGUAAUUCCUUCCCACCAGUCUUCUCCAGUUACUUCUCUAUUCUAGUCUUUCCAUUAUUCUUGUAAUAUUUUGUAUCCCUUACUAAGAGGGAUCAUUGGGUGUGUGGAAUAUUGUUGGGCGUACAUUGUUGGCUAUAACUUGCUUUUUCUGCUGCACUCACUGAUAUAUACAUGGUCUGUGUUAGUUUAAUAUUGCUAGUCGUCAGUGAGUCACAAUCAUUCAUGCUUACUCUACUUAUAUUGCCAAACUAAGAAGUGUUCUCUUCUUCUGUGUGACCUGCCUGGUCUUUCGUCUGAUUUUACUUCCUUCACCACUCCUGUGACCCUAUCCAAUAAUAUUCCUUUUCUCAAUUGAGUAUAUGCGAAUAAAGUGGUUUGCCCUAUAACAUGAUUUCUACAAUUUGCAUAGGUCACUGUUAUGGCUACAACUGAUGGGUCAUCUUGCUUCUUCUGCAUGCCCAACUUGAGAACGUAUUAGUAAAUGGAAAUGGGGCAAUGCACUUAAAACCUGUGACAUGUUCAUCCAAAGACUCAGGAAUUCUAUGAGUAUGGGCAGGUUUGCAAGUAGCCAGUUUUAAUUUAGACCUAAAUGGUGUCAAGGGAACCUUUGAUUACCCAGAGUAGCUAUGUAUUCAGGUUUCCUAUCUUCUGCCUGCAGGUGGCCCCCACAACACUAUAAGGUAUGGUUCUUCUGCACAGCUCAAUCUCUGGACUUCUCACCUUGACAAGAUUCGAGGCAGGCUUCUUGGGCCUGUCGUCCAGUUAUUCUGUGUCACUGUUUCUUUCAGAUGUUUCAGCCUUGAGGCAUGAAUCCACUGGUGUUGAUGGUCAGUCAGUACUCCCAUCCUGGCCACGGCAAUCUCUGUAGCUGAUCCUAGGUUUCGUCCUCCGGUUUCGUCCCCCAUAGGACCCAACCAGAUCUUGAGAUCUCAUGAGCCAGGAAGUUACCUAUUAAAUUCAUAGGAAUGAUUUGCCAUCCUUGUAAUUUGGCUUUAAAAUCAAAUAGUAAUCAGAUUAACAGCUUAGUUUAUAAUAGUGUGUGAUGAAUGAGUUCAAGAAGUCUAGGUAAUCUUAGGUAUUGCUUAGCUUGUCAUGUCAUUGUGAAUAUCUGUUUGGAUUGCAAUUCUUGUCUUAAAGGCAAAAUUGAUGAAAAGACAUUUUCGGAAUAGGCUGGUUUUUUUUUAAAAAAAAAAAAAAGGAUGUCGCAUUUUAUUGUCUAAAUGCUUUUUUUCUUUCUUUCUUUCUUUUCUCUUUUUAAUGAUCAAAAGGAGAAGUGACUGCAGUUUUGGAUUUGUCUUGAAAGAAACAGAGAUAUAGCCUACAUACACAUCUUAAGUGAAUUUUGAAACAACACAAGGAUGCCAAGACCUUCUCUUCUCACUUUGAUACUGGAAUUCAGGAUCAGGAUGGAACUGGAACUCGGGUCACCAGAGCUGCCCACAAGGCCAUAAUAGGAUAUUAUUUUCAACUUGACCGCAAUGGUUUUUUUUUUGGGUUUUUUUUUUUUUUCCAUUAUUCAAUUAAUGCAUAUUGCCUGUAAUUAAAUGAACCUUUAUGUUAUGUCAUAACAGAUUAAAAUCUAUAAAUCAAAAUAUUUAUUGCAUUUUGCCUCAAUCGCCUAUUGCCUCAAUGGUGUACACACUACAGUGUCUUUGGGCAGAUUGCUGAGGCGGAUUGCCAGCAACAGCCAUUUUGUAUUGUUUGUGAUUCAGUCUUAGUGACUUAGGAGUCCUCUCGACUACCACUAAAUUUUCACAGAUUUAGGAGCUGGUUUUAGUACUGAAAUGCUUUGUGAAAUGCUUUUACUCAUAAUGUCCCUUUCCUGCCUGACUAAUUCAGUGUUUACUGUAUAUUUACAUAAACAAUAUCCUAACAUAUUUAUCAGUUAAUAUGCAACACAGUUUUUAUUUAAAUUAUCAUCUAUCAUUAUGUAGGGGUGAAUUCAGGUUAAUUAACCUGAAUUCGCCUAUCAAUCAUAAAAUCUAGCUGUAAGCCUACAAUGUUUUUAAACGUCACUGUUUUUCAUCU